GACGAACGCUGGCGGCGUGCUUAACACAUGCAAGUCGAACGGAGCGAAUGAAAGCUUGCUUUUAUGAGCUUAGUGGCAAACGGGUGAGUAACACGUAGACAACCUGCCGACAGGAUGGGGACAACAUUCCGAAAGGAAUGCUAAUACCGAAUGAAGCGGAGGAGAGGCAUCUCUCCUCCGUGAAAGAUGGCCUCUGAACAUGCUAUCACCUGUCGAUGGGUCUGCGUCUGAUUAGCUAGUUGGUGAGGUAACGGCUCACCAAGGCGACGAUCAGUAGCCGGUCUGAGAGGAUGAACGGCCACAUUGGGACUGAGACACGGCCCAGACUCCUACGGGAGGCAGCAGUGGGGAAUCUUCCGCAAUGGGCGCAAGCCUGACGGAGCAACGCCGCGUGAGUGAAGAAGGUCUUCGGAUCGUAAAGCUCUGUUGAUGGGGACGAACGUGCGAAGGGUGAAUAAUCC
rnacentral:rRNA from 1 species